rnacentral:rRNA from 1 species
AUGGACGCUGCCUUGCUUGAGGUACUUGUUCAUCAUCACAACAUGGGUGACCAUUCACAAAAUGGAUGGAAAGCACAUGUGUACAGUGCAGCUAUCAAGAAUGUGAAGGAGAAGUGCAAUAAGGAUAUCGCGAAGAACAACAUUUUAGGAAGGCUUAGGACUUUCGACAAUCAAUUUGAAAUCAUUAACAAGAUCCUUUCUCAAAGCGGUUUUGGUUGGGAUUGGGUCAAUAAUAAGCUAUCCAUUGAUAGCGACGAUGUGUGGACUAAAUAUUUGGAGAAGGAGAAAGCAUUAGCUUCUUACAAGACCAAAGUAGUGAAGCACUGGGAAGCCAUCUCUACCAUAUAUUCAAAAGAUCAUGCGGACGGUGAAGGUGCCAAGACAGGUGCUGAGACUGCUGCUGAGAGUGCUGUAGAUCUAGAAGAAACAAUUGAAGUCUCUCCAGAAACGGUACCAAAGAGACAACGAACAGGUGAUUCCAUUAUGUGCAUGAUUGGAGAAAUGAGGACUACUUUCAAGGAUGCUUUGAAGACAACUGGUCCACUCCCAUUGCCAAAGGUUACUACUCCUUCUGAAAUACUUGCUGCACUUGAGUUGAUACCAGAGUUGGCAGAAGUAGACAUGUUGCGCUCUUACGGAAAGUUGAUUCUUAAUGAGCGCUUGUUUUAA